rnacentral:lncRNA from 1 species
GCGCGGUGGCUCAUGCCUGUAAUCCCAGCACUUUGGGAGGCCGAGGUCAGACAACUUGGCAUCACUGACUGCCACUCCUGCUUGGCAACAGUCUCCAGAGUUGAGGAACUACAUCCUUUAAAGAACCCUUUCCUUUCCAGUUGUUCUAGAACCCCCCUCCCUGUUGUCUUCCCAACUCCUCCUGCCCCUACAGGCGUCUGCAUGCAUGAGCCCCUGGUAAGACUGAGAACAUAUGCAAAUAGUGCCUGGAAUGAAAUAAAUACUCAAUAAAUGCUAUUAUUACUCUUGCAUGAGAAAUCACUCAUCUACAGUUUUGAAAAUGAGCCUGUUUUAGGGACACAGAUUUAUGUGUCACGCAUGUGUGGAUGGGUUGCAUUCUUAGAGUGUGUAGGAAACUGGUGAUCCAAACAAGAAGUGCCAGUACUCAGAGGCCCCAUACCUGCACCUUCCACAGCUCUGGAAGGAA